CCAUUGCAGUGUCACAAGAAUGUGAAGACAUCUUUCUUGACAAGUAUCAUGUUAUCCUGCCAGAGCUCCAGUGGCACAAGAAUGCUCAUGUCCUACGGCUCCACUCUCAGGCUCUACUAGGGUGCAUCUCAGUGAACAGCAAAGCUCCAGCCGCUGCCAGCCUGGCCACACGGUGUGGAGCAGCUCUCUGGAGAAGGCAAGGGGACAGCUGCACCACCAAGAAAUGAGAAGAGCUGAGCAGCAAGUUUUACCCCCUGAGGAAGAGAUCUGGAUUUUGAAUCUUACCGCCAAAUGUCCGGUCAAGACCACUGUUACACAAUAGUGAAAUGGUUGAAAACAGCUCCCUGCUUUUUUAAGACCUCUAACCCUAGGCAGGGUGCUAGGAUGCACUCACAUCUCCUUCCAUGAGAUGUAGAAG